UACAGAGGGGGCAAGCGUUGUUCGGAAUUACUGGGCGUAAAGGGCGCGUAGGCGGCCUGUUAAGUCGAACGUGAAAUCCCCGGGCUCAACCCGGGAACUGCGUCCGAUACUGGCAGGCUUGAAUUCGGGAGAGGGAUGUGGAAUUCCAGGUGUAGCGGUGAAAUGCGUAGAUAUCUGGAGGAACACCGGUGGCGAAGGCGGCAUCCUGGACCGAUAUUGACGCUGAUGCGCGAAAGCCAGGGGAGCAGACGGG
rnacentral:rRNA from 1 species